GACGAACGCUGGCGGCGUGCUUAACACAUGCAAGUCGAACGGACAGGCCCUGCUUUUGUGGGGUGCUCGAGUGGCGAACGGGUGAGUAACACGUGAGUAACCUGCCCUUGACUUUGGGAUAACUUCAGGAAACUGGGGCUAAUACCGGAUAGGAGCUCCUGCUGCAUGGUGGGGGUUGGAAAGUUUCGGCGGUUGGGGAUGGACUCGCGGCUUAUCAGCUUGUUGGUGGGGUAGUGGCUUACCAAGGCUUUGACGGGUAGCCGGCCUGAGAGGGUGACCGGCCACAUUGGGCCUGAGAUACGGCCCAGACUCCUACGGGAGGCAGCAGUGGGGAAUAUUGCACAAUGGGCGGAAGCCUGAUGCAGCAACGCCGCGUGCGGGAUGACGGCCUUCGGGUUGUAAACCGCUUUCGCCUGUGACGAAGCGUGAGUGACGGUAAUGGGUAAAGAAGCACCGGCUAACUACGUG
rnacentral:rRNA from 1 species